UACGUAGGGCGCAAGCGUUAUCCGGAAUUAUUGGGCGUAAAGAGCUCGUAGGCGGUUUGUCGCGUCUGCUGUGAAAACUCGGGGCUUAACCCCGGCCUGCAGUGGGUACGGGCAGACUAGAGUGCGGUAGGGGAGACUGGAAUUCCUGGUGUAGCGGUGAAAUGCGCAGAUAUCAGGAGGAACACCGAUGGCGAAGGCAGGUCUCUGGGCCACUACUGACGCUGAGAAGCGAAAGCAUGGGGAGCGAACAGG
rnacentral:rRNA from 1 species